rnacentral:tRNA from 1 species
GCGACCGUAGUCUAGCCUGGUUAGGAUUCGAGAUUGCCAAUCUCGCGAGCCGGGUUCAAAUGCAACCCCAAGGGGGGCUCCGCCCCCUUAGUGCUGCGCCCCCCAAACUCCCUGUUUGGCUGGUGCUUUGUGUGAAAAUCCCGGCGGUCGCA